AUUGAACGAUGGCGGCAGGCCUAACACAUGCAAGUCGAACGAGUGGCGGACGGGUGAGUAAUGUCUGGGAAACUGCCCGAUGGAGGGGGAUAACUACUGGAAACGGUAGCUAAUACCGCAUACCAUCGGAUGUGCCCAGAUGGGAUUCGCUAGUAGGUGGGGUACUGGCUCACCUAGGCGACGCUCCCUAGCUGGUCUGCGAGGAUGACCAGCCACGCUGGAACGGAGACACGGUCCAGAGUCCUACGGGAGGCAGCAGUGGGGAAUAGUGCACAAUGGGCGAAAGCCUGAUGCAGCCAGUCCGCGUGUAUGAAGAAGGCCUUCGGGGUGUAAAGUACUUGCAGCGAGGAGGCGUUACUCGCAGAAGAAGCACCGGCUAACUCCGUGCCAGCAGCCGCGGUAAUUC
rnacentral:rRNA from 1 species